rnacentral:rRNA from 1 species
UACGUAGGCAGCGAGCGUUGUUCGGAGUUACUGGGCGUAAAGGGUGUGUAGGCGGUUGUUUAAGUUUGGUGUGAAAUCUCCCGGCUCAACUGGGAGGGUGCGCCGAAUACUGAAUGACUAGAGUGCGGGAGAGGAAAGUGGAAUUCCUGGUGUAGCGGUGAAAUGCGUAGAUAUCAGGAGGAACACCGGUGGUGUAGACGGCUUUCUGGACCGUAACUGGCGCUGAGACACGAAAGCGUGGGUAGCAAACAGG